rnacentral:rRNA from 1 species
AACGAACGCUGGCGGCAUGCCUAACACAUGCAAGUCGAACGAGAUCCUUCGGGGUCUAGUGGCGCACGGGUGCGUAACGCGUGGGAAUCUGCCCUUAGGUUCGGAAUAACAGUUAGAAAUGACUGCUAAUACCGGAUGAUGACGUUAAGUCCAGAGAUUUAUCGCCUGAGGAUGAGCCCGCGUAGGAUUAGCUAGUUGGUGUGGUAAAGGCGCACCAAGGCGACGAUCCUUAGCUGGUCUGAGAGGAUGAUCAGCCACACUGGGACUGAGACACGGCCCAGACUCCUACGGGAGGCAGCAGUGGGGAAUAUUGGACAAUGGGCGCAAGCCUGAUCCAGCAAUGCCGCGUGAGUGAUGAAGGCCUUAGGGUUGUAAAGCUCUUUUACCCGGGAUGAUAAUGACAGUACCGGGAGAAUAAGCCCCGGCUAACUCCGUG